UACGGAGGGUGCAAGCGUUAUCCGGAUUCACUGGGUUUAAAGGGUGCGUAGGUGGGCUGGUAAGUCAGUGGUGAAAUCUCCAGGCUUAACUUGGAAACUGCCAUUGAUACUAUCAGUCUUGAAUACCGUGGAGGUCAGCGGAAUAUGUCAUGUAGCGGUGAAAUGCUUAGAUAUGACAUAGAACACCAAUUGCGAAGGCAGCUGGCUACACGAAUAUUGACACUGAUGCACGAAAGCGUGGGGAGCGAACGGG
rnacentral:rRNA from 1 species